CAAAUAUCAAUAAUUCUGAUCAAUAAUUCUACGCUACUGUUAUGAAUAAUAACUUGAAAUUCAUUUCAAAGUAAAACCAGGCAGAGAUGGCAGAGGAAGAGUUGAACAUUUUCCUUUAAUCUUUAGACCUACUUGGGUGCCUAAAGUAAAACCAAAAGGAUUGCUGCAAACUUGAUUAUGAACUUAAAAGUCAAAAAACUAGGCCAACGGUUAACGAAAAUUCCACUACUCUACCUUAGUUGGUCCGCUUUAUGCCGACGGCGACUCAAUAUUGAACGGUCAGUUGGGCGACAACUUCAUGAUCCCUAGAUCGCCAUGGCGACCCAAUUAGAAGUAUGUUUGAUUUAUUUUCCACGGAACACUAGGAAGACGCUCGCGUAACACUAGUGUUCCGCGUAACACUAGUGUUCCGCGGAACACAAUUUGGGAAACACUGAUCUAGCCCAUAAAAUCAGUUGAAACGAAAUGAUCAUUUGGUGAUUUUAGGCUUUGUUUUUUCAUAUUUCCAUGUCCAUAUUUGUCAUAUGAUGUAUGCAAAUUACAUUAGGCUAUCCUGUUUUGCAUAAUUUUAUGUUGCCGCUAUUCUUCCGUCAACUACAUCUCGGGCUCGCCGCUCAAGUUUUCAUACUUUGCUAGAUCUUAUUCGUCGUAAUUUUUUUUAGAAUGUGUUUUAUCCAUUUAUCUCAAUUACCAGAUGUCGCUAAUAAGCCAUCCUAAUAAUGAAUGAAUCAUAAUAGAUGUUCCUGGAGUUUAUUUUGAACGCAAUAUUGUUUUUCCGUGAUUGUGCAUUUUUUUAUUAUUAUUCACCAGGUUGCUUCGUCGCUAUAUUUUUACUGUAAUUAAUUAAGUCUCGCGACUCCUUCGCGCUCAAGAGUCAAUAUUUUCCGUUUUUUAGUUUUAUUAUGUUUUUCUAUUUGCUUUAUAUUGAUUCUUGCAUGACGAAAAUAAAUAUCUGAUCUGAAUCUUACAAAACAAUGAAUAAGCAAAAUUCAGAAGGCCCAUAAGAGUGAAUUGCAUAUUAAUCUUUAUCCUUCUUCACAAACAGCGCAUUAUGGUUUCAUCCUAGUAUAGAAUAUAUAAAAUGAUGUGGAUUUUGCACGGGGAACUCUGACAGUAAUGGUUUAUAAUGGUGAUGUUUUUCAAAUAUAAAUCUUUUCACUAGAACUGAUAGAAGUCACCAAAAAAAUUGCAUGGUACUAGAUUUUAUUUAGGGCGAAUACGUUUUAGCGGAAAUGCAUUUACCAAUGUCAUUGUGGAUAAAUAUGAAAACACUGUAUUUGAAGUUUUAUUUGGUCGUAACGAAACUGGUACCUCUUACAUAAAAUUUUUACAAUACAAAACAUUUACGUCUUGCGAUGAAUCAACAUUUUUCAAUUUUAUAAAAUUUCUUUAUCCUAAUAUACAAUAUAUAUCAAUUUUUAUCGACACUUAUUAAAAUUUAUUGAAUAUUCCAAUCAAGUUUUAUAUCAAUAUAUUCGACAUAUCUGUUAUAUAUUUCGUAUCAGUAAUGUUAACGCGAUAUUGCAGAUUUAAAAUUGCAAAAUCAUAAAAUAUAAGAAUAGAAGGGAGUUUUUACAUCGAAAAUGAUGGCAUAUUCUUGGUGAAAUUCGAAAUUGCAAUCAAUAUAAUUCGUUAAAAUAAAUGGACUAUAAAGAAAUUGUGAAUUAGGGGAAUUGUAUAUUUUACUAUAAUUGAUGAAUUAUCACAAGAUGCAGGUGAAAGAUGUAUUUGUUACAGAAAAAGGAUUUCGAACAGCAAAAUUUAACAUAAGUCUCAAUUUCAAGUAUGUCAAAAAGUUUAAGCAAAUUAUGG